rnacentral:misc_RNA from 1 species
UGCCAAAUAUAUGCUCUUUGUAAAAGAUAUCCUCAGGUACUACAAUAAUGUUUUUUAACUGUGAAUUCUACAACUUCUUUCCUUUCUACUUAUAUCCACAUGCAGGUUAAAUCGCCAUUUCAAUCCUUUUUUUGAUUUUCUUGUUAAAUGUUAGUAAUAUCUUUAUGUCUGUUUGCAUAUAUUAAUGACAUUACCCUUUUUAUUUUAUUAAUUUUUGUAAUGGUGUGAGCUUAUUAUAGGAUAAUAGAAGAAAAAAGAGGAGUUACAGUUACUGAUUCUGGAAUUCCAGAGGUAAUGACGGCACCUUUUCCCAAUGGGCUUCAGUCUCAAGCCUUGAGCAAAACAAGUGGAACUGUUGCUCCAGCUUCAAAAAGUAGCUCUUCAUGGGAUGAGGAUUGGGGUCCUGUCUCGAAAGGACCUACCACUAGAAACCAGCUUUCUACAAGCAAGCCAUUGUCUACUACCUCUGUUUUGAGUAAUCAACCAAUUCAAUUAACUUCUUUGAAAUCAGAAUCUUCCUUGAUCUCUGCUGUACCUGGUCAGCAAACAACUGCAUCAUGCCCUCCAGUUGACAUAGAAUGGCCUCCUCGGGCAUCUUCAGGUGUAACCCCUCAGUUACGUGAUGCUGAUAAGCAAUUGAACACGGGAGCAUCAUCUUCAAGUUUUGAUGAUCUAGAUCCUUUUGCUAAUUGGCCUCCAAGACCUAGUGGUACUUCCAGUGCAUCUGGAACUUCUAAUAAUGGUUCAUUGGGAUCAAUGGGAAAUAAUUAUAGUACCAGCUUGAAUGCGAGCACGCCCAACAGUAUGAACUUCCAAGCUAAUGGAAAUAAUAGCUGGGCCUUCAGCAACCAAAGUUCAUCUGAGCUGUUGAAAUCAAACCAAGGGAUUUCUACAAUGAGUGCUGGUAGUUUGAACAGUGGUCAUAAUCCUCAGAAAUCAAUUGGUUUCAUGAAACAAAAUCAAGGUAUGUCUGCUUUGGGUCCAUAUAAUGAUAAGAAAUCAACAGAUCUUGGAUCAAUAUUUGGUUCCAGCAAAAACGAGCAGCUUGCACCUAAACUUGCUCCGCCACCAUAAACUGCUGUGGGCAGAGGAAGAGGAAUAGGAAGAGGGGCCACUUCUACUUCAAGAUCUACCCAUGCCAAACCACAGUCGGAACAGCCAUCCCUUUUGGACUUGCUGUAAUGGACUGGAUUGCCUCUAUCACGUGAAAGGAGGGCUGAAAAAAGAGAGGUUCAAGUAGCCGUGAGCCAUUCUAUGCAGCGACGCAGUUGGAUUUUAUGUUAAAAACGAUGGAUUCUAAGUUCAUUUGGGGCGAG